rnacentral:tRNA from 1 species
AGAGUGUGUGCUCAGUGGUACAGUGUUUGCUUAGCAUGCAUGAGGUCCUGGGUUCAAUCCCCAGUACCUCUA